CUCUGCAAGGUCCUGACCUGCCGUUCAGCCAACUCUAAUGUCCCUCAAGAACAAGCUCAGAGCUAGAGCGAUUCAGUCUCUCCAUCACAAUCCAUUCAUAGAGACAUAGAUCUAUUAAAACUAUAGUAUUAAAAGGCAGUUCAGGCCUAUACAGUGCAGACCUGGGACAUCCCCUGCUACACAAGGUUCUGUCUAUGAGCAGAUCUACAGAGUCCAUAUGUGCAGAGCUGAACAGGCCUGCUGGCAGGAGAAUACUUCAGGGGAAGGGCAGCAGUCUCUUUUAUGACCUUGCUGACGUCAAUGACAUAAUUCAAAUACUUACAGAGUGCAGCUUCCAGCUUUCACUCUGUGGCGGGGCUGCGAGCAAAACCCGGCAUGGAGCCCGCUUAGAGCACGGCAAAUCCCACGCUGUGAAAAACUGGAGCGGAGUUCAGUUCAACAGACGCGACUCUUGGGAAACACACAUGGUCUGUGUUUGCUCACUUUGUUCACAAAGGUGCCAUUACAUAGCAAACUGAUGUACGCUGCACUUUGAAAUAAAAAUGAAAUAAAACAAGGAUCUCCUAAAUAUGACUGAACGAAGGCAGUGGUCAAAGAACAUUGAGGAAUUGAAAGUCUCCGUAUCGAACCCCAGCUGGAAUCACUCAUUUUGGGGAACAUAUUGGGACCCAGAGCAGCACCCUCCUGACAGACAACGCUCCCCACGCCAGCGUGACAGGGCUAAAUAACUUGAUUUAGACAUUGCAUCUGAACAGAAACAAUAACAACUCAGUUAAUAGUAUUACAGUUACACAGUUUACUGAACAGAACUCGGCCUCAGGACAUUUCUGUUUAAGCGUGAGGUCAUAUGAUUCGAUUUGUAUGUGAAUGUAUAGUGUCACUCAUGAUACUUGAGUGGAUUGAGGAUAACAUACCGUCUUGACUGGAACAUUAUACUAGAAUAAUAUGUUUUUUAAGACCAGCUUUAGAUGGGAGCCCUCAGACAAUCGUCUGAGGGCUCCUACAUCGGUUGUGCACAGAUGGAUGUAGACAAUAAUAAAAAUAAAUCCUAGGUCUGCCACAAUG